AGCCCGGCACAAAAAUGUUUCCGUCUGCGUGCUUAUCCUUGGCCACGCGGUGGCUCUCAUUAGGUACACAAAGGUAUCUUUUUCCUCGUCGAAGUGAACUUGGCUAAUUACUGCGAUUCUCAGGCAACCGGGAUGGAAACCGAGAGUUGAAGCGACUUUAUAGGCACACAUAGUUCCAUUUGGUGUCAUCUUUUGAAGCUGCCUCAAGGCCAAGAAAAGACAGAGUUGUGAUCCUCUGAGAAGGUGGAAAAGAAGCCGAAAGACAAUUCAAUGGCAAGAGUGCUGGAAAGUGGAGAAAGAGCAUAGACCACAAAGUUGGAAGUAUUCAUGGAAGACAGAAGAGUUUGCAGGGACAAAAAAAAGCAAUUCAAACAAAUCUGCAUUUCUGUAAAUGACAAAGCCAAAAGAGAUAUGGAGCCCUCCUUAACUCUCCAACUCUAUUCAAGAUAAAAGAAUGGUCUUCAAUCCAAGACAGAUGCAGAAAAGAGCAUCUAGCUGCUUAACAUGAGAGCAGGGUUGUCGGCUUAGAUAAAUGACACCCCAGAGUCCUGAAAGAAGUUGCAGAUGUGAUCACAGGGCAAUCCGACCGGGAGGAAUCGGGGAAACAGAGAGCAGGCAAAAGACCGGAGAUGGGCAAAUGAGUUCCAGAUUUUCCAGCCCAACAGGAAAAGCGACUUAUGGAUCUGUGCACUGGUGAAGUUUAAUGCUGAGCUUCAGCGAAACUCCAAUGAAUGAUUAAAGGGGCUUUGUGCGUAUUUAUUAAAGAAAAGUGGUGACUGCUAGGCACUCUCUUGAGUUCCCUGAAAUCUGAGCUCAGGCCAACCAACCUUGUUUCCAUUUUGUAGCACUUGACUGGAGGAACAGGAAAAUAUUGUAGUCAGAAAUGACUUAUUUGAGCAAGACAUUUGCCAGGAGUCUCUCAUGACAUCCUUGUGUACAGGAAAUGUGGACUGCUGAUUCCAGGAUCCGCUGUGUUCCAGUUUUCACUACAUAAGACUUCAGUCUCAAAGGUGCAAAGAAAUAAAAUGAUCGUAACAGAAAUACUUAGAAAUGAACUUUUAAAAAAAACUAAUGACUUUUUGAUGUGAGAUAGUCACACUCAAAUAUCUUUCCUCACUUGGGUUAGUUUGCUAGGAUGGCAAUAACAAAAUAUCACAGACUGGGGGACUUAAACAAGAGAAAUUUAUUUUCUCACAGCUCUGGAGGCUGAAGUCCAAGGUCAAGGUAUCAACAGCGUUGGU